CUCAACAUUAAACAGUGCUUCAAACGACAUCUAUGGAAUAGUUGAGAUAACUUGCGGAACAUCUGUACAGUUUUUGAUACCAACAGAAGGAAAACAAAUUUCAUUAAAACAUUUCGUCGAACGAGAUUUAUAAAGAAAAAUUUGAAAUCAGAUAGAGCGGGACAUGGAGAGUUACGAGCUGCUCCGACACUCAGUUGAGUCACCUACACCUGUACGAGGCUGGAGGUUCGCCAAAGAACUGAUAGCGUAGACGUCGUACCUUCGAAGAUGCCGGACACAAGGACGUGCACACCGGAGCGGCCUUUGAGAGGGGGAUGAAGCCUUUUUCCUCCUCGAUUGGCUGCAACCGCAACGGUUCGGGCCGGCCUCUUUUCACGCCGCUUUUCAUCAUCGCUUUCUGUUGUUCCCGGAGCCAGAACGAAAGGUGUUAAUGAAACUGGCUGCAUUCUCGUGCACCCGCACCUGCGACAUUCCUAGGAAUCCUCGCUAUUGCGCACGCCGUUAAUCACUGUUAAUGUCACUGAAGAAAUUAGAAUUGAAAGGCUGGUUGAAACACUCACCUCGUAAAACUCACUUCACUUGAACGAGAGCCCGCUUCGAGAUUGUCUUCCAAGAAAAUGCUUUCCGCAACUUAAUACAUAGAUUGCUUGAAAUUACUUACGACACAUCGCAGUCUCUUGCAUGACUCUAUUGUUAUGGUUGUCUACAAUCUGCAUUACGCGAAUGCUCGUGAAACUUAAAUAACGUCACCAUUGCAACAAUCGUGGAGGAGUGUUCUUCGGGAAACAGGAAAUUGGUUCGGUGAACAAAAGAUUUGUUGGCCUUUGAAAUGAGCUCAAGAUUUGUGGGAAUAGUUAUAAGCGGAGCAGGUCCAGGUAUCCAACUCGUUUUCCUGCGGAA
rnacentral:lncRNA from 1 species